GCUUAGGGAAGAGCUUGCGUCACAUUAGUUAGUUGGUGGGGUAAUGGCCUACCAAGACGAUGAUGUGUAGCCGGGCUGAGAGGUCGAACGGCCACAUUGGGACUGAGACACGGCCCAAACUCCUACGGGAGGCAGCAGUAAGGAAUUUUCGGCAAUGGAGGAAACUCUGACCGAGCAAUGCCGCGUGAACGAUGAAGUAUUUCGGUACGUAAAGUUCUUUUAUUAGGGAAGAAAAGAUGGUGGAAAAACCAUUAUGACGGUACCUAAUGAAUAAGCCCCGGCUAACUAUGUGCCAGCAGCCGCGGUAAUACAUAGGGGGCAAGCGUUAUCCGGAAUUAUUGGGCGUAAAGGGUGCGUAGGCGGUUAAAUAAGUUUAUGGUCUAAGUGCAACGCUCAACGUUGUGAUGCUAUAAAAACUGUUUAGCUAGAGUUGGAUAGAGGCAAGUGGAAUUCCGUGUGUAGUGGUAAAAUGCGUAAAUAUACGGAGGAACACCAGAAGCGAAGGCGGCUUGCUGGGUCUUAACUGACGCUGAGGCACGAAAGCGUGGGGAGCAAACAGGAUUAGAUACCCUGGUAGUCCACGCCCUAAACGAUGAGUACUAAACGUUGGAUAAAACCAGUGUUGAAGUUAACACAUUAAGUACUCCGCCUGAGUAGUACGUACGCAAGUAUGAAACUUAAAGGAAUUGACGGGACUCCGCACAAGCGGUGGAUCAUGUUGUUUAAUUCGAAGGUACCCGAAAAACCUCACCAGGUCUUGACAUGCUUUUGCAAAGCUGUAGAAAUACAGUGGAGGUUAUCAGAAGCACAGGUGGUGCAUGGUUGUCGUCAGCUCGUGUCGUGAGAUGUUGGGUUAAGUCCCGCAACGAGCGCAACCCUUGUUGUUAAUUGCCAUCAUUAAGUUGGGGACUUUAGCAAGACUGCCAAUGAUAAAUUGGAGGAAGGUGGGGACGACGUCAAAUCAUCAUGCCCCUUAUGACCUGGGCUACAAACGUGAUACAAUGGCUGUUACAAAGGGUAGCUAAAGCGUAAGCUUCUGGCGAAUCUCAAAAAAGCAGUCUCAGUUCGGAUUGAAGUCUGCAACUCGACUUCAUGAAGUUGGAAUCGCUAGUAAUCGCGAAUCAGCAUGUCGCGGUGAAUACGUUCUCGGGGUUUGUACACACCGCCCGUCAAACCACGAAAGUUGGCAAUACCCAAAGCCGGUGGCCUAACUUGAGCAAUCAAGAAGGAGCCGUCUAAGGUAGGGUUGAUGAUUGGGGUUAAGUCGUAACAAGGUAUCCCUACCGGAAGGUGGGGAUGGAUCACCUCCUUUCU
rnacentral:rRNA from 2 species